rnacentral:lncRNA from 1 species
UUUGCAACCUGACACUGUUCAGCUUUUUUAUCUUUUACCAGUAUUUGGGGACUUAUUGGGGAUUCCUUUGAUAAUUUCAGGAAGAAAGAAGUGGAAUGGAAGGAGCCAGUAACUGUCCCAGGUCAGAAAACGCCUCUGAAAAGGAUCUACAUUACACCCAAAGUUCAUUGGAUAACUGCACCCUCAACAAUCAGGAGACAAUAAGUGGUGUAGACAGAGCUAAUAUCUUCCCCAAAUCAGAUGGUACCUCUGAAGACAUUCAGCAUUCCACAGACUGUUCACAGGUUGAGACUUUCCACAUUCAGGAGACAAUAAGUGGUACGAACCAAGCCAGUAACUGCCCCAAAUCAGAUGGUGCCUCUGAAGACAAUCAGCAUUGCACAGACAGUUCACAGCAUGACAGUAUCUUCCACAUUCAGGAGACAAUAAAGGGUAUGAACCAAGCCAGUAACUGCCCCAAAUCAGAUGGUGCCUCUGAAGACAAUCAGCAUUGCACAGACAGUCCACAGCAUGACAGUAUCUUCCACAUUCAGGAGACAAUAAAGGGUACGAACCAAGCCAGUAACUGCCCCAAAUCAGAUGGUGCCUCUGAAGACAAUCAGCAUUGCACAGACAGUUCACAGCAUGACAGUAUCUUCCACAUUCAGGAGACAAUAAAGGGUACGAACCAAGCCAGUAACUGCCCCAAAUCAGAUGGUGCCUCUGAAGACAAUCAGCAUUGCACAGACAGUUCACAGCAUGACAGUAUCUUCCACAUUCAGGAGACAAUAAAGGGUACGAACCAAGCCAGUAACUGCCCCAAAUCAGAUGGUGCCUCUGAAGACAAUCAGCAUUGCACAGACCGUCCACAGCAUGACAGUAUCUUCCACAUUCAGUGGCUCUUGAUGUAGAACCACCCAUAGAUCCUUCUGCAAAAGAAGUCCAGAAAUCUUCAAUUGAACAAGCAACAGAAAUAACAAGUACCACAACUACCAUGAAAGGUACUGUUUGUUAAACUUCAUAGAAAGCCUUUAUGAACUUAAAAAUCUCUGUUUUUUCUGAUGUGCUUUGUUCAUUCAGGUCGAAAGGUGGUAAAGAAAAAGAAAUGGGACAGUGAUGAAAUGAAUGCAGUUGAAAAGCAUCUAAACAGGUUCAUCAAAACUUGUACAGUGCCAGGAAAACAACAAUGUGAGGCCUGUAUAAAUGCUGAACCUGUUGCCUUGAAAGACAGGGAUUGGUUGUCUGUAAAGUUCUUUGUGAAGAACAAAAUCACUACCCUUAAAAGAAGAAUGUAAAGUCAGUUAUUUUAUUUUGUUUGGUAUCUUAUUUUCUGGUAUUUUAGAUUUCUGGUUAUUACAUUUGUUUUAAAAGGAUCUUAGAAUCUCUUUUUUUUUUUUUUUUGGAAAUGGGUGC